rnacentral:sRNA from 17 species
UUUAACGUGAUUUAACACUUGUUAACGUGAAUACCAAGGAAGUUACUCAGGUAUUCAAAUAUUAUACUUUCAUGAUUUAGAAAGCUUCUAAAUUCAUGACAUUUCUCCUUAACCGAAGCUGUGUAUACAGAUUCGUUGUUCUGCGCAAUGAUCACCCCAAUCAUUGCGUAUUUUUUUGUCUAUAAAA